CACGUAGGGGGCAAGCGUUGUCCGGAUUCAUUGGGCGUAAAGAGCUCGUAGGCGGUUCGAUAAGUCGGGUGUGAAACCUCCAGGCUCAACCUGGAGACGCCACCCGAUACUGUCGUGACUAGAGUCCAGUGAGGGGAGCGUGGAAUUCCUGGUGUAGCGGUGAAAUGCGCAGAUAUCAGGAGGAACACCAGCGGCGAAGGCGGCGCUCUGGGCUGGAACUGACGCUGAGGAGCGAAAGCGUGGGGAGCGAACAGG
rnacentral:rRNA from 1 species